ensembl:lncRNA
GAUAGGAAUACUUUAUUUUGAUGAGAUAGAUACUCAAAAUAUUCUAUAUGAUGAUUUACCUGCUGGCUUGCUGGAGCUUUGUAUUCAUGUUUGCAAUGCUGAAUUGCCUUUAGCAGCUUCCUUUUGCUCUCUCUCUCUGUCUUUUUUGUGAAGGCAUUUUUUUUGUGUUUGUCUACAAAGUGUGCCAACAACAGCAAAUUUGGUGUUAUCUAUGUUAGAUCUGAUUGAGUACAACAAUUCGAUUAGACAUUCUAAUUCUGAGAACAUGGAUAUUUUGUACAAGUUGUUAGCACUUUUAGAAGGCCGAGUUAUUAAGUCAGAGAAGUUGUGGCCUAAUGGUUAGAGAGCAACCAUUGGCAAUACCACGUCUGAAGUGCCCUUGAGCAAGACACCGAACCCCAACUGCUCCCCGGGCGCCACAGCAUAAAUGGCUGCCCACUGCUCCAGGUGUGUGUUCACGGUGUGUGUAUGUGUUCACUGCUGUGUGUGUGCACUUUGGAUGGGUUAAAUGCAGAGCACGGAUUCUGAGUAUGGGUCACCAUACUUGGCUGUAUGUAUGUAACAUCAUUACCAACAAAAAAUUAAAACAAACAAACAAAUUUCAAACUAAUUACUAAUUCAGCGGCUCAACCACUGACUAAUGUGGAUCAUAAUGCAUCUACCUAGUAAUGCAACGACCAUCGGGGACCUCCAGAGAGCGGCACACAGAUCGAAACCAUACCACGCCCACAAUGAACCACUACCAGUAAUUCUUGCCCAUGACAGGGAAGAGAAGAAUUGUUGAAUAAUUUUCUUGCAUUGCUGUAUGCAGGGUUAGAAAGCUCUCGUAUUUCAUCAGAAUAUCUUAAUUUGUUUUCUAAAGACGAAUGAAGGUCUUACGGGUUUGGAACUACAUGAGGGUGAGUAAUUAAUGACAGAAUUUUUAUUUUUGGGUGAACUAUCCUUUUAAGUCAGUGGCUACGUUACUUUGAGAUUCAAAAAAAGCAUAUACAGCAACAAAAUUAAUACAUUUAUACACUUUCUGUGU